rnacentral:rRNA from 1 species
AUUGAACGCUGGCGGCAUGCCUAACACAUGCAAGUCGAGCGAGCGGCGGACGGGUGAGUAAUGCAUGGGAAUUGCCCAGUCGAGGGGGAUAACAGUUGGACACGACUGCUAAUACCGCAUACGAUUAGAUUUCCCAGGUGGGGUUAGCUAAUUUGUGCGGUAAUGUCUCACCAAGGCGACGAUCCCUAGCUGGUCUGAGAGGAUGAUCAGCCACACUGGAACUGAGACCAGGUCCAGACUCCUACGGUAGGAAGCAGUGGGGAAUAUUGCACUAUGGGGGAAACCCUGAGGCAGCCAUGCCGCGUGGGUGAAGAAGGCCUUCGGGUUGUAAAGCACGUUCAGCGAGGAGGCGUUACUCGCAGAAGAAGCACCGGCUAACUCCGUGCCAGCAGCCGCGGUAAUAC